ACCUCAAUGAAAUUGAUCCUUGUCGAUAAUAAAGAAAUCCGAAGACCAAAAUAUUCGACCGGAGAACCUCACAACGAGCAAACCAAACUCGGUAUUAAAAUAAUAACCGUACAACUCCAAAACCAGUGAAGAAAAAAACUCAUGAUGCAGAAUCCAAAUCACAAAUGUUGACAUGAUUUCAACCCAAAAAACUCUGAGGACUGAUAGUAGAAAAAAAA
rnacentral:lncRNA from 1 species